GGCGUUGUCCUCCGCCUGCAUCGUACUUUGCCCGCACUAAUAUCUUUCAGAAAUCAUUUUUUCCACUUACGAGCGAAGAAUGGAAUCAUUUACCGGAAUUUGUUGUUGAAUGCACAUCUUAUGUUUCAUUUGAAAAACUACUAAAAAAUGUUCUUUUGUAAACCCUCUCCUGCUUGGGCAGCAUUGCUGCCUGCAGUAUUGU
rnacentral:lncRNA from 1 species